GGGGUGCAGCAGGCGCGAAACUUUGCAUUAGGCGAAGCUUGACAGGGUAUUUGAGUGAUUUCCGCUAAGGAAUUUUUUGGCACCUCUAAAAUGGUGCAGAAUAAGGGUGGGGCAAGCCUGGUGUCAGCCGCCGCGGUAAUACCAGCACCCCGAGUGGUCGGGACGAUUAUUGGGCCUAAAGCAUCCGUAGCCGGUACUGCAAGUCUUCCGUUAAAUCCACCUGCUUAACAGUUGGGCUGCGGGGGAUACUACAGCGCUAGGAGGCGGGAGAGGCAAGCGGUACUCAAUGGGUAGGGGUAAAAUCCGCUGAUCCAUUGAAGACCACCAGUGGCGAAGGCGGCUUGCCAGAACGCGCUCGACGGUGAGGGAUGAAAGCUGGGGGAGCAAACCGGAUUAGAUACCCGGGUAGUCCCAGCUGUAAACGAUGCAGACUCGGUGAUGGGCUGGCCUUGUGCCAGCCCAGUGCCGCAGGGAAGCCGUUAAGUCUGCCGCCUGGGGAGUACGGUCGCAAGACUGAAACUUAAAGGGAAUUGGCGGGG
rnacentral:rRNA from 1 species